GACGAACGCUGGCGGCGUGCUUAACACAUGCAAGUCGAACGAUGAAGCUGGAGCUUGCUCCGGUGGAUUAGUGGCGAACGGGUGAGUAACACGUGAGCAAUCUGCCCUUGACUCUGGGAUAACUGCGGGAAACUGUAGCUAAUACCGGAUAUGAGGUCCGAAGGCAUCUUCGGGUUUGGAAAGAAUUUCGGCCAAGGAUGAGCUCGCGGCCUAUCAGCUAGUUGGUGAGGUAAUGGCUCACCAAGGCGACGACGGGUAGCCGGCCUGAGAGGGUGACCGGCCACACUGGAACUGAGACACGGUCCAGACUCCUACGGGAGGCAGCAGUGGGGAAUAUUGCACAAUGGGCGAAAGCCUGAUGCAGCAACGCCGCGUGAGGGAUGAAGGCCUUCGGGUUGUAAACCUCUUUUAGCAGGGAAGAAGCGAAAGUGACGGUACCUGCAGAAAAAGCACCGGCUAACUACGUGCCAGCCGCCGCGGUAA
rnacentral:rRNA from 1 species